GACGAACGCUGGCGGCGUGCCUAAUACAUGCAAGUAGAACGCUGAAGAGAGGAGCUUGCUCUUCUUGGAUGAGUUGCGAACGGGUGAGUAACGCGUAGGUAACCUGCCUUGUAGCGGGGGAUAACUAUUGGAAACGAUAGCUAAUACCGCAUAACAAUGGAUGACACAUGUCAUUUAUUUGAAAGGGGCAAUUGCUCCACUACAAGAUGGACCUGCGUUGUAUUAGCUAGUAGGUGAGGUAAUGGCUCACCUAGGCGACGAUACAUAGCCGACCUGAGAGGGUGAUCGGCCACACUGGGACUGAGACACGGCCCAGACUCCUACGUGAGGCAGCAGUAAGGAAUCUUCGGCAAUGGGGGCAACCCUGACCGAGCAACGCCGCGUGAGUGAAGAAGGUUUUCGGAUCGUAAAGCUCUGUUGUAAGUCAAGAACGGGUGUGAGAGUGGAAAGUUCACACUGUGACGGUAGCUUACCAGAAAGGGACGGCUAACUACGUG
rnacentral:rRNA from 1 species